UUGUAUAAAAAGGGGGUUAUAAGGGCUGUCGCUGACUUUUCAUAGUCGUGCACGCCUGAGUGCCCCUCAUUACAUCCAUUUCACCCCUUGUGCACAACCGCGUGGGUCCUUCUCUUUUUGGCUUGUUCCAGAAGGGGAGGGGGCUUGCGUUUUAACAUAAACACCCCUUUGAAUUCAGUGUAGAAUGUCUUUAACAAUGUGAUUAAUA
rnacentral:misc_RNA from 1 species